rfam:Asian citrus Psyllid, Diaphorina citri - Florida Strain, whole genome shotgun sequence.
UAGCGUAGUGGUCAGUGCGCUCGCCUUGCACGCGGGCGACCCGGGUUCGAUUCCCGG